AUUGAACACUGGCGGCAGGCCUAACACAUGCAAGUCGAACAAGUGGCGGACGGGUGAGUAAUGUCUGGGAAACUGCCUGAUGGAGGGGGAUAACUACUGGAAACGAUAGCUAAUACCGCAUACCAUCGGAUGUGCCCAGAUGGGAUUAGUUAUUAGGUGGGGUAAUGGCUCACCUAGGCGACGAUCCCUAGCUGGUCUGAGAGGAUGACCAGCCAAACUGGAACUGAGACACGGUCCAGACUCCUACGGGAGGCAGCAGUGGGGAAUAUUGCACAAUGGGCGCAAGCCUGAUGCAGCCAUGCCGCGUGUAUGAAGAAGGCCUUCGGGUUGUAAAGUACUUUCAGCGGGGAGGCGUUACUCGCAGAAGAAGCACCGGCUAACUCCGUGCCAGCAGCCGCGGUAAUUC
rnacentral:rRNA from 1 species